GCUAGUGUGGUGUAGUGGUUUGAGUGUCAGUCUACAAUGCCAGGAGAUCAGGGUUCAAAUCCCUGCUCAGGAA